rnacentral:SRP_RNA from 1 species
GCCAGGCAUAGUGGUGUGUGCCUGUAAUCCCAGCUACUUGGAAGGCUGAGGCAGGAGAAUUGCUUGAGCCUGGGAUGCGGAGGUUGCAGUGAGCUGAGAUUGUGCCACUGAACUCCAGCCUGGGCAACAGGGCAAGACUCUGUCUCGA